rnacentral:lncRNA from 1 species
AUGAGCCAAAGAGCCUCCCGACGUUUCAACUGCUGCCACCUGGAAUCUAAGGAGGUCGGUUGGCCCCCGCUGCCCAGAUCCGUUUUCCCUCCCUUACUUCAGGUGCUUUUUGGGGAGCCCCAUGCGGGCAGGUCCCUUUGUUCAGCGACACAGACAGACCCUCCACACGCCUCGGGUGAGUCAGGAACCGAGGCCUCUGCCCCUCUCCUCUGCCCACGUGGAGGGGCUGAAGCUCCUCGGAGCCGGAGGGAGGCCGCGGGCCUAGACGGGGAGGGGGGGCAGCGGGCACGCAGCAGGAAUAAAGAGCAUUUCUCUUUCUCUGAGGAAUUCGAGUCCGAGACCCGGCAAAGGCAGGGCUGGCCUCGGUUUUCUACCUUGUGGUCUCAAGUUCUCUGCUGCUGGAGGGCUUCCCAAGCGCGGACUCCCGAGGGGUCCGCCCGCCAGACAGGGCCCCCCCAGGAGGUGGCCGUGGGAUACUCCAGUGCCGGGUCCCCCACCGCCACCUCCGGGCCGCACCCAGACGGCCUGUUGGUUCCAGGAGGGGACAGGGAGGCCCAAGGCCGGAGGAGCCCUCGGAGGCCAAAGAGCCGCUCAAGCUCCGGCUGGCUGGGACACAGGCCGCGGUCCCCGAGGCCGGACCUUCCCCUGCAGGACACCGCCACACGCGGCUGGCAGGGCCAGGGGGCUCCAGGGAUGAUGAGCCGAAGCCGGAGCCCCGAGAAGGGGAAAGCCCGCCUGGUGACGGAGCUAAGGCCUGUGCGCAGCCGUGCAGCUGCGGCUCCGGGCGAACCGGGCGCCUGGGAGGGCUGCUGGCGCUCAGGGACCGGGGGUGCCGGCUCGGUGGCGGGAGGCGGCCGGUGGGCGUCGGGGCUCAGGACACCCUUGCUGGGUGCCAGGCCUGGAGGAAGGAGAGGCGCAGGGGGCAGGCACGGGGACAGUGUGGGCACAGCCGAGGGACCAGUGGGCCUUCCCAGCCAUGACACCUGCCGCCAGCCGGGUGCUCCCCGCGAUGACACCUGCGGGCCGGCGCCCUGCCUGUCGCCCCAGAGCAGAAGAGCAGGGGAAGCGCGCUGCUGCCUUACGUGUCCCCUUCGGAAGACCCCGCGGCCGCCCCGGCCCCUCCUGCCCCACGCUGCCACCUCAGGGCCUCCGCCGAGCCCUCCCGGGUACCCGCGGGCCCCAGAGGCAGCCGACCCGGACCCGGCGCAGGGGCUCCCCACGCACCUGCUGCGCCCUGGCCCUAGAGGAGGGGGGUCUUAUACAGAGUGA